UGACAGAGGGGUGAGGCAUGGAAGGUGCGAGCAGACAGGAAGAUAAGCCUCACCGUGCAUUCAUUAUAGACUGUAAAGGGUCAAGUUGGGAGCACGCAAGACCACUGAGAAGCGGAUUGCAGUAGUCAGAGAGGACAGGGCAUGGACCAGCACACUCACUGACAGACACACACCAACAGACACACUCACUGACAGACACGCACACACUUACACACACUUAUGACGUCGUAUUCCGCAUCAGAGGAUGCGUGAGGGAGGAGUAAGGAAC